rnacentral:rRNA from 1 species
AUGGCGCGCGGCAGCGAGGACGUGUUCACGUACGACAUCGGCGAGAAGGAAGACGGCGCGCCAACGAUCAUCGCCGCCCAUCCGCUCAAUGUCCAAAUGCGCCAUGGCCCCGGACCCAUGGGCAGGGGCUCCUAUGAUUGCGCUAGCUACAUCUUCGAUCUGCAUGGUAAGCUGGCCAUGGCGGUGAUGAUCAAGUGGUGCGGAAACGGCCAACCUUUCUUCAAGGUGUUCGAGCUCGCUGAAGCCGAUGAAGCUGACAGUGAUGACUUACACGACUACAAGUGGGUGGAGGUGCAUAGCUUGGGCGACUACGCAUUGUUCUUGGGGCUAGCCUCCUCCUCCAGAGCGGUGCACGUGCCCGGUGCCGGCCGCGGUGGCGUAAACAAAAACCAUAUCUACUACUCAAACCAUCGAUGCCUAUCCAUCAACACAGAUAAGAAGUUCGACGGAAAAGCAUACCUGACGAGAUCUAUAGGUCGCGACCGGAUGUAUUGCAAGGAAGAUCAAGACGCCGACUAUGGCGUGGAGAAGAUCCCUUCACUAGGACACCACGUUAUUGGUGGCCCUUACCCUCCUGUCUGGUGCUUACCUCCCGACUUUUAG